CCUACGGGAGGCAGCAGUGGGGAAUUUUGGACAAUGGGGGCAACCCUGAUCCAGCCAUUCCGCGUGAGUGAAGAAGGCCUUCGGGUUGUAAAGCUCUUUUGUCGGGGACGAAACGGUUACGAUUAAUACUCGUGACAGCUGACGGUACCCGAAGAAUAAGCACCGGCUAACUACGUGCCAGCAGCCGCGGUAAUACGUAGGGUGCGAGCGUUAAUCGGAAUUACUGGGCGUAAAGCGUGCGCAGGCGGUUUUGUAAGCCAGAUGUGAAAUCCCCGGGCUUAACCUGGGAAUGGCAUUUGGGACUGCAAGGCUAGAGUAUGGCAGAGGAGACUAGAAUUUCUGGUGUAGCAGUGAAAUGCGUAGAUAUCAGAAGGAAUACCGAUGGCGAAGGCAGGUCUCUGGGUCAAUACUGACGCUCAUGCACGAAAGCGUGGGGAGCAAACAGGAUUAGAUACCCUGGUAGUCCACGCCCUAAACGAUGUCAACUGGUUGUUGGGAGAUUUAUUCUCUUAGUAACGAAGCUAACGCGUGAAGUUGACCGCCUGGGGAGUACGGUCGCAAGNUUAAAACUCAAAGGAUUGACCGG
rnacentral:rRNA from 1 species